UCCGGAGCUGCGGACUACCUAGCGGGUUUACCGGGGCUCUGGUUCGAAAAGCAGGAGUAGGAACGGGGUGGUUUUUAGUCAGUAAGAGUCUGACACUCCCUCUCGCCUUGCCCUGGCGAGAGAAGUCAUUGGAUGAUUUUCAUCCACACCUCAAAAAGACCUCCAAAAAUAGGAUCUCAAAAACAUCUUUUGGUUAUGGGACCCGUAGACUAUAAAAAAAAUACAUCACAAUUUUUUUCAUACUUUAAAAUGUAUUUUUAGUGUUAUGUAUCAUACUGUAAUAGGUGAGCCUAUUAUAUAACACCAGCCAUUUUUAUAUUCCAAUAUUGUUAUUUAAUAUUAUUUUCAAAAUGAAUUAAAAAAAGAAAACUGUCCGAACUGAAAAUCGAAGCUACAUACCUCACGCUUGGUAGACAUAGAAAGUGUUAUUUUUUUUGUUUUCGAUGAAAUUAAAUAACUUUUAAAGUUAAGCGUCCACAGGCCCGCAUCGUACGCAUCGCACGCAACGGAUUUUAGUUUGUCUUGUAUAGAAACUCAUACAACUGCGUCCACUGAUCCGCAUCGUACGGACCGCAUCAUCGGCAAUGCCUACAUACGAUGCGUAUCGAUGACGUCAUACGGAAUGCGUACGAUGCGCUGUGGACGCUAACCUUUGUACAGAAUUAAAAAAUAUGUUAGAUUAAAAAAAUGUCUGAUAUGUGCAAUAAAGGGUGACGGAGUGGGUGUAUAUCUAUCUCUAUCUCACUCGCACUUAUACUCUUUAAGCAUGGCGUCAAUGUUAUAUCGUGCGUCUCUUUUCAGUUAUUGAAUAGAAACAUUUUUCAUAUAAUAAUUAAAAGAAAUAUUUUUAUAUUGAACACCUUUUUAAUAACAAAUAAACACAUAAAAAUAUGUUUUAUUAAUUAUUAUGUUAUCGGCUGCCUCGUUGGUCGAGUGGUCGCAAGUGCGACUGCCGAACAAGGGGUCUCGGGUUCGAUUUCCGGGUCGAGCGAAGUAUUACUGGGGUGUUUUCGGCUUUUCGAAAAUUUCUUAGUAGUAGCACGGAGUCUGGAAUUGUGUCCAGUAUAUGGCAAUAGGCUCACCCCCUAUUACAUGGGACUUGUAACACAAAUGGUGAAAAGUGGGUGUAUAGCGGCAUUACAUGUCGUAAUGAGCACCUCUGCCUACCCCUUCAGGGAUAAAAGGCGUGACGUUGCUUAUGUUAUCUUCUUGAGUAAGCCGAUAACAUAAUAAUUAAUUUAGUAUGUCUCACGAAAGUUGUAAUAAAAUUAAAUAUGUUUCAUGUUGAGCAUAUUAUGUUGUUGGUUUUAAUGAGCUCUAUUUUACCAAUCACUCCUGUUUAAUAGAAAAAACAAAUACCUAAUUAAAUUCUUUAAAAAAUUACACUAUUUGCUAUCCUCUUCACUCGUAUUAAGAGCGAAAGAGAUAGAAUAUCAAAAUAUGGAAACGAAAAUGUUCAGUAAAAUUUAUAUUUUUACAAAAUAAAAUGCCAAGAUACGUAAUUUUCACCUUAUUGUAAUAAAAUAUCUUUAAUUAUCUUUAGCAUUAAAAUUCACCGGUGGGGUAGACGGAGAUAUAUAAAUAUAUCCCUAUUUAUAAUAGGGAAUGAAUCUAUAGAUUUUGUGCUAAAAAACUAGACCGAAAAUUCUAAAAAAUACAUAAUCUUACUAAUACUAAUUUGUAUGUAUGUUUGUUACUCAAUCACGCCAAAACGGCUGAAGGGAUCGGGAUGAAAUUUGGAACAGGGGUAGAUUAUGGUCUAGAAUUACACGUCAUUUCUACGUAUAAAACGUGCCUAGAAGUGACGUCACGCGAUGUUUCAAAUCGAUAUAUCCUCGCAAGUAUUUGUUUUCGUAAGAAAAUAAAAAAUACGUGUCUAAUGUUUUAAAAUAAUCUACAAGACGGACAUUAAAAUAAAAAAAAAAAAAUUCUGUGGAUCAUAUUAGAUAAAGAAAGCAAUACUGAUUACAUUUGAAUGAAUUUUCAUCUACUGUCAUUUACAGUUUAUCCAAGCAAUAAUGAGUUCUAAUACUUUGACUUAAGAAUUUUCUUGAAAUCAAUAAUAUUUUCGCAAUAAAUAAAAAUAAAUUACUAUUAUGUGUCCUAUUCCAUUCGUAGUAGAACUCAAAAUUGAUUGGCUAAACUGGAUAUUCGUUUUUUUAAAGCUUUUCCAUUUUUACCCCUUUUACCUGUUUGAGGGUUAAAAUAAAAUAAGGGUACAAAAACGAAAAUGUGAUCUUAAGAAAAGUAUUAUUGUGAAUAAUUGAUAAUAAUAAAUAAAUAAUAAUGUAAUGUAAUAAUAAAAUGAAUAAAGAAAUUAAUUAUAUGUUA